rnacentral:rRNA from 1 species
GACGAACGCUGGCGGCGUGCCUAAUACAUGCAAGUCGAGCGGGGAUUAUGCUUGAUCGCUUCGGUGAGACGGCAUAUAUCCUAGCGGCGGACGGGUGAGUAACGCGUGGGUAAUCUACCUCGUAGUUCGGGAUAACAGGCCGAAAGGCUUGCUAAUACCGGAUGAGUUCAUGCUUAUGCAUAUAGGCAUGAAGAAAGGGCUAGCCCGCUAUGAGAUGAGCCCGCGUCCCAUUAGCUUGUUGGUGGGGUAAUGGCCUACCAAGGCAACGAUGGGUAGCCGGCCUGAGAGGGUGUACGGCCACACUGGGACUGAGACACGGCCCAGACUCCUACGGGGGGCAGCAGUAGGGAAUUUUCGGCAAUGGGCGAAAGCCUGACCGAGCGACGCCGCGUGAGGGACGAAGGCCUUCGGGUUGUAAACCUCUGUCUGGGGGAUGAGAACGGACGGUACCCCGGAGGAAGCCCCGGCUAACUACGUG